rnacentral:rRNA from 1 species
AUUGAACGCUGGCGGCAUGCUUUACACAUGCAAGUCGAACGGUAGAGGGCUUCGGCCCUUGAGAGUGGCGAACGGGUGAGUAAUGCAUCGGAACAUACCCAGUCGUGGGGGAUAACGUAGCGAAAGUUACGCUAAUACCGCAUACGUCCUGAGGGAGAAAGCGGGGGAUCGCAAGACCUCGCGCGAUUGGAGUGGCCGAUGUCAGAUUAGCUAGUUGGUGGGGUAAAGGCCUACCAAGGCGACGAUCUGUAGCGGGUCUGAGAGGAUGAUCCGCCACACUGGGACUGAGACACGGCCCAGACUCCUACGGGAGGCAGCAGUGGGGAAUUUUGGACAAUGGGGGCAACCCUGAUCCAGCCAUGCCGCGUGCGGGAAGAAGGCCUUCGGGUUGUAAACCGCUUUCGGACGGAAAGAAAUCGCCAUUCCUAAUACGAGUGGUGGAUGACGGUACCGUAAGAAGAAGCACCGGCUAACUACGUG